GGCUUGAGUAAAUAUCACGUCAGCGUUUGGGACUGUGAACCCCAACCCCGGUGGCCGUUGGUGUGCUGAACUCUCCGGAGACCCGCCUGCUUUCUGCUUGUUCUUCCUGCCGUGGCUCCAGCGAUAUGCUGAGCUCUCCGGAGACUCGCCUGCUUUCUGCUUGUUCUUUCUGCCGUGCCUCCAGCGAUCUCCCCUCUGGCACCUCUGCUCAGACCACUGCUCUCUUUUUCCUGUGCUGUUCCUGCUUUGAAAUGGCAAUAAAAUUCCUUCCUUUGAUAUUUUUGCUGAGUGUGUCCGCUUGUGCAAGGUACAGCGAGGAGGAACGCCAGGCGCGUGUAAGUCCUCUUCUGCAAGAUUCGUGGGAGAGUCACGCUCUAGUGGACAGGACAUGAGCUGUGAAGGCAGACAGACCCGCGUCUUCAUUUCAGCUCGCCUCUCACUGGCUGUGUCUCCUUGGAUAAUCUGUCUUUGAGUCUUGUUUUUCUUACCUGUGAAAUAGAGAUCAUGUAUCUACUCAGGACUGCUCUGUGGCUUGGGUGAACUGAAUGAAUGGAAAAGCUCUGACUGUCCGGAGCACAGUGAGUCAUCAGGGAAGGUGAGGUGCCGUCCCC
rnacentral:lncRNA from 1 species